UACGGGGGGGGCAAGCGUUGUUCGGAAUUACUGGGCGUAAAGGGCUCGUAGGCGGCCAACUAAGUCAGACGUGAAAUCCCUCGGCUUAACCGGGGAACUGCGUCUGAUACUGGAUGGCUCGAGUGUGGGAGAGGGAUGCGGAAUUCCAGGUGUAGCGGUGAAAUGCGUAGAUAUCUGGAGGAACACCGGUGGCGAAGGCGGCAUCCUGGACCAUUACUGACGCUGAGGAGCGAAAGCCAGGGGAGCAAACGGG
rnacentral:rRNA from 1 species